GCUGAAAGCAUCUAAGCACGAAACUUGCCCCGAGAUGAGUUCUCCCUGACCCUUUAAGGGUCCUGAAGGAACGUUGAAGACGACGACGUUGAUAGGCCGGGUGUGUAAGCGCAGCGAUGCGUUGAGCUAACCGGUACUAAUGAACCGUGAGGCUUAACCUUACAACGCCGAAGCUGUU
rnacentral:rRNA from 1 species